UUGAAUUAUUAAUUCUUUACUCUGACGUUCUCGUUCGAAGACAUGGGUUUGGUUGUCCCCCGGCGGGCGCUGUCCGGGCCGUGGGGCCCGGCGCGCGCGAGCGCGGCCCGCCGAAGCAACGUUCGUUUCGUACUGCAAAGGGUGGGAUGUCGGGCCCCCGAGGGGACCCAAACACUGUAAUGAUCCUUCCGCAGGUUCACCUACGGAAA
rnacentral:misc_RNA from 1 species